AGCAGCCGCGGUAAUUCCAGCUCCAAUAGCGUAUAUUAAAGUUGUUGCAGUUAAAAAGCUCGUAGUUGAACUUCGGGGUCUACCCAUUGGUCAGGCUUAAUUGUCUGCACUGGUGAGAUGGAUCUCUACCUUCUGAGGAACUUUCAUGCCAUUUAUUUGGUGUGGUUGGAAAUCAGGACUGUUACUUUGAAAAAAUUAGAGUGUUUAAAGCAGACUAUCGUCUGAAUACAUUAGCAUGGAAUAAUGAAAUAGGACGGACUGAUUCUAUUCGUUGGUUCUAGGAUCACCGUAAUGAUUAAUAGGGAUAGUUGG
rnacentral:rRNA from 1 species